GUUUCAAACUCAGCUAUCCUCCAGCUCCCCUCAGCUGUGGGGACAGAACUUCAAAGGAAACCCAGCCCCUGCCCUGAGUUGGGACUCUGGUGAUAGUUCAUCGCUUUCAGUCUGAGUAUGUAGAUGGGGUUAAAGUAAUCCCUGUUCUAACUGCUCACCUAUCUCAUUUUUCAGCACUGUGCCCUCUGGGAAGUGUGACUGGCUGAAAGAAAUGCUCUUGGAAGCUUAGCGUUGUGACAGACAAGAAAUUGGAUGAGAAAACAGAAACAGCUUAGAGGGGGAUCAUUUUACAUUUCUUAAUUGCGGAGACAGCUCGUGGUGUUGGCAGUAGUUGUAUGGAGAAGUGGAUUUUAAUGAAGUGCAGUUCUCUUACCCCACUGGAACUUCAGCAAGCACAAGCUGGAUGAUAGCAUCCUGUCAAGAUAAUGCUGACAACGUCGUUACCAAGAGGAAAGAUUUAUUUUGCAUCUAUGCAUUUUGUAGCAAAAUUACA
ensembl:lncRNA